rnacentral:rRNA from 1 species
GACGUAGGAGGCGAGCGUUGUCCGGAUUCAUUGGGCGUAAAGAGCGCGCAGGCGGCUUGGUAAGUCGGAUGUGAAAUCCCGAGGCUCAACCUCGGGUCUGCAUCCGAUACUGCCCGGCUAGAGGUAGGUAGGGGAGAUCGGAAUUCCUGGUGUAGCGGUGAAAUGCGCAGAUAUCAGGAGGAACACCGGUGGCGAAGGCGGAUCUCUGGGCCGUAACUGACGCUGAGGAGCGAAAGCAUGGGGAGCGAACAGG